UUGCCAUCAUUCAUUGGGCACUCUAGCGAGACUGCCGGUAAUAAACCGGAGGAAGGUGGGGAUGACGUCAAAUCAUCAUGCCCCUUAUGACCUGGGCUACACACGUGCUACAAUGGUUGGUACAACGAGUUGCGAGUCGGUGACGGCGAGCUAAUCUCUUAAAGCCAAUCUCAGUUCGGAUUGUAGGCUGCAACUCGCCUACAUGAAGUCGGAAUCGCUAGUAAUCGCGGAUCAGCACGCCGCGGUGAAUACGUUCCCGGGCCUU
rnacentral:rRNA from 1 species